rnacentral:lncRNA from 1 species
GAUGAUGGGAUUUUUUAUAAAUUAAUUAAAAUAAAGGAGAAUUAGGUUUUAUUUAUUUAUGAAAGAAAAAUAGGGAGAGUUUGUCAGUAUGUGAAAAAGUUGUGAAAGAGGCGAGGGGGAGAGAAGAGCAAACCCUAUUAGAGCAAGAGUAAGAGAAAGGAGUUUCAUAGUCAAAUCUUCAAGUUUUUUUGAAUUCGAGGUAAGGGGGUUAUUCAUGUAAGGGUGUUUAAGCUGAUGGAUAGUGAGGAUUCCUUACCUUCCUUCAUUUUUACAUUUUCUUUUC